CAGUCGCCGCGGGAAUACAGAGGGUGCGAGCGUUAAUCGGAUUUACUGGGCGUAAAGCGUGUGUAGGUUGUUGUUCAAGUCAGUUGUGAAAUCCCUGGGCUCAACCUGGGAACUGCUUCUGAGACUGAACGACUAGAGUACGGUAGAGGGUGGUGGAAUUUCCGGUGUAGCGGUGAAAUGCGUAGAUAUCGGAAGGAACAUCAAUGGCGAAGGCAGCCACCUGGGCCUGUACUGACACUGAGGUGCGAAAGCGUGGGGAGCAAACAGGAUUAGAUACCCCCGUAGUCCCUGUCUCUUAUAC
rnacentral:rRNA from 1 species